AGAGCAUCUAGGCCGCCAGCAUUGUCUGGUGGUCCAGGGCCAUUACGUCGGCAUACGUUCGACGGUGGUUGCUCAUGGGUGGAACGUUGAUUAUUCGGCACCCUUGACCGUCUUCUCUUUGAUAACUGUGCCUUCGGGGGAGGGAAAGGAAAAUCAAGACUGAAGGGGGUACCGGGCCCGGUACUGUGUGUGAGAGGAUAGGGCCGAGAGGUUGUGUUCUGUGUUCCCCCCCCGGCCCACUCACCGUGCCGGGGUGGGGUGGGGGGGGGGGUGGUUGUUUGUGAAAUGAGCACUGCACACGCGAAUCUCUGU
rnacentral:misc_RNA from 1 species